rnacentral:tRNA from 1 species
GCCAGCAUGGUGCAGUGGUUUGAGUGUUGGACUAAGACUCCGGAGAACAGGGUUCAAAUCCUGGCUUGGCC